UUAACUAUUAUAUAGUACUCAGACAUCACUAAAAACAAGAGUUGUGGUCCUCUGGCAGGUACUCAACAGCCGAAGCCGCUGGCGCGAGGCGCCCUGCCAAAGCAACAAAGGUAAUUUAUUCAAGGGUGGAGGUCUGGACCAGGCUUCUCCGAGAGGCCUGACGACUCUAAACCCUACCGAAGUCGGGUGGCCCCCAGGAUUUCUCCCGGGGCGCUGUCUAUCCAUUGCUCUAUUAAUGAUCCUUCCGCAGGUUCACCUACGGAAA
rnacentral:misc_RNA from 1 species